CUUAUUUCACUCCCGCAAUCUAAUUAGUUACACCCUUCAUCUCAAUUUGAAUUUCAAGUUAUUUUUUUUCUCUCCAGCUAAUCAAUAUCAAAUCAUUGAAUAUGUAGUUUUCAUCUUUAUUCUACUGUUCUUUGAUUUCGUAAAUUUUUCGACGAUCCUAAAUGGGUUGAAAACAGAUCUAAGGUUUUCAUCAACAAUUGACAAUAGUAAAUCAUUGUUGUUCUUUGAUUUUUUCAAUUUUUCAACGAUCCUAAAUGGGUUGAAAUCAGAUCUAAGAUUUUCAUAAGCAACUGGCAAUAGUAAAUCAUUGUUGUUCUUGAUAUUCUAAAGCACGAGCGUUUUCAUCAUCCAUUAGCAAUAGUGAAUCAAUAUUGUUCUUCAUCUUCUAAAGUGCAGGUUGAUAAAAAUUCAGAAAGAGGGAUCGAAAAUUGGCUCCUGCAAUUUCUUGACCUUCUUUACAGAAGGGAAUGCAUAUUCUUUAAUCCAUCCAAUGAUUUCUGAUCAGAUUGCCUUCGUACACGAUAUGCAACCCAAUUAUGAAAGUUUGAUACUGAAAAGAUCAAGGCAGAAUAUGUUAGUGAAAAUGAAGAUCCACAAACGCUUAAGAGUCAAUUCACAACACCAUCUCAAGAGGAUAUGAUUAAUGUUGACUAUAGAUUAUCUAUAACUUGUUGGACACCUUUUUAGAGUGUUAUGGUUGUUAAGAUACAUUUACUCUAAUUUUAGAGUGUUCCUUUUUACUGUUUUGAAA